rnacentral:tRNA from 1 species
GUCCUUAGAGGUUCUGGCGUGAUCGCGAUCUCGGUUUCCUAAACCGUGUGUCGCAGGUUCGAAUCCUGCCGAGGGCG